GCACCUUAUCACGACGAUAUACUCGACGCGAGGCGUGCGAAUGCGAGGGAAAUCAAUUUUCGCGAUUUUGUUACGCGAAACCCGAGUCGCGUAGGAUUUCGUGUGCUGCAGUAACCUGCACGUUAAAUGUUUGCGACCGGGCCGCAUUUCGACACGCUGCACCCGAUUUCAGACCCGGUCGAAUGUUACGCUCCGUCCGGUAUGGAAAAUUAUGCUACAAUUCAAAUGUUUUAUAUCG